CUAGCAGUAUCUAGAGUUUGUAUCCUGGCUCAGGAGUGAACGCUGGCGGCAUGCCUAACACAUGCAAGUCGAACGAAGCACAUGAGACAGCUUGCUGAGGAUUGUGACUUAGUGGCGAACGGGUGAGUAAUGCAUGAGCAACCUGCCCUUCAUGGGGGACGAACAGUUGGAAACGACUGCUAAUACCGCAUAACACUUCCGGAAGGCAUCUUUUGGAAGUCAAAGAUUUAUUGCUGAAGGAUGGGCUCAUGUCUGAUUAGCUAGUUGGUGAGGUAACGGCUCACCAAGGCGACGAUCAGUAGCCGGUCUGAGAGGAUGAACGGCCACAUUGGGACUGAGAUACGGCCCAG
rnacentral:rRNA from 1 species